rnacentral:rRNA from 1 species
AGUGAACGCUGGCGGUAGGCCUAACACAUGCAAGUCGAACGGCAGCACAGUAAGAGCUUGCUCUUACGGGUGGCGAGUGGCGGACGGGUGAGGAAUACAUCGGAAUCUACUUUUUCGUGGGGAAUAACGUAGGGAAACUUACGCUAAUACCGCAUACGACCUACGGGUGAAAGCAGGGGAUCUUCGGACCUUGCGCGAUUGAAUGAGCCGAUGUCGGAUUAGCUAGUUGGCGGGGUAAAGGCCCACCAAGGCGACGAUCCGUAGCUGGUCUGAGAGGAUGAUCAGCCACACUGGAACUGAGACACGGUCCAGACUCCUACGGGGGGCAGCAGUGGGGAAUAUUGGACAAUGGGCGCAAGCCUGAUCCAGCCAUACCGCGUGGGUGAAGAAGGCCUUCGGGUUGUAAAGCCCUUUUGUUGGGAAAGAAAAGCAGCAGGUUAAUACCCCGCUGUUCUGACGGUACCCAAAGAAUAAGCACCGGCUAACUUCGUG